AAAGGAAUAGACGGGGGCCCGCACAAGCGGUGGAGCAUGUUGCUUAAUUCGAGGCAACGCGAAGAACCUUACCCAGGUUUGACAUCGGAGGCACCGGCCCGAAACGGCCGUUCCGGCAACGGACCUCCAGACAGAUGCUGCAUGGCUGUCGUCAGCUCGUGCCGUGAGGUGUUCGGUUAAGUCCGGCAACGAGCGCAACCCAUGCCGCCAGUUGCCACCGGGUGAUGCCGGGGACUCUGGCGGGACCGCCCGUGUCAAGCGGGAGGAAGGCGUGGACGACGUCAAGUCCGUAUGGCUCCUACGCCUGGGGCCGCAAACGUGCUACAAUGGCCGGUACAGAAGGACGCUUGGCCGCGAGGCCCGGCAAAUCCCCAAAGCCGGCCCCAGUUCGGAUUGCAGCCUGCAACUCGGCUGCAUGAAGCCGGAAUCGCUAGUAAAGGGGCAUCAGCCACGGCCCCUUGAAUACGUUCCCGGGCCUUGUACACACCGCCCGU
rnacentral:rRNA from 1 species